rnacentral:rRNA from 1 species
GUGUCAGCAGCCGCGGUAAUACGAAGGGGGCUAGCGUUGCUCGGAAUUACUGGGCGUAAAGGGCGCGUAGGCGGCGCAGUUAGUCAGGCGUGAAAUUCCUGGGCUCAACCUGGGGACUGCGCUUGAUACGGCUGUGCUAGAGGAUGGAAGAGGCUCGCGGAAUUCCCAGUGUAGAGGUGAAAUUCGUAGAUAUUGGGAAGAACACCGGUGGCGAAGGCGGCGAGCUGGUCCAUUACUGACGCUGAGGCGCGACAGCGUGGGGAGCAAACAGGAUUAGAUACCCCCGUAGUCC